CAAUUCAGGUCUGUUGGUUGAUCCGGGUGACCAUGAACGGAGACAGACAGUUAUGAAAGCCCCAAAGUUAAGGAGAAAAACGGUUAUCCAAAAUUAAGCCAUGGACGAACUGCAUUUCCCAUCUUUGCAGCUUGAAUGAAACAAAUCAUGAGAUUCAGCUGAAGAACAUCUCCUACUGAGAAGCCUCUCCUGAUGGACUCUUCCCCAAUUCCUGAUUUUUUCCAUUCCUCUCUCCAUAACAGAGAGGCUCCUCCUCCAUGCUGCCAUGGUCACCUUGUUAACAUCCAUCAGUGGACACCAUAAAACAACGUAUUUUUGAAAACUU